CACGUAGGGGCCAAGCGUUGUCCGGAUUUAUUGGGCGUAAAGAGCUCGUAGGCGGUUCGACAAGUCGGGUGUGAAAACUCCGGGCUCAACCCGGAGACGCCACCCGAUACUGUCGUGACUGGAGUCCGGUAGGGGAGUGGGGAAUUCCUGGUGUAGCGGUGAAAUGCGCAGAUAUCAGGAGGAACACCGGUGGCGAAGGCGCCACUCUGGGCCGGUACUGACGCUGAGGCACGAAGGUCAGGGGAGCAAACGGG
rnacentral:rRNA from 1 species